rnacentral:lncRNA from 1 species
GUCCACGGCUUCCCGGAGCUCUGGUACACUUGGCGCCACCAGAUCGCCGGCCUCGCCGCCCGCGGCUACCGCGCCGUUGCCCCCGACCUCCGCGGCUACGGCGAUACCGACGCGCCGCCGUCCCUGGAGGCGUAUUCCAUCUUUCACCUCGUCGGUGACCUCGUCGCCCUCAUCGACGCCCUGGGCCAGGACCAGGUUCGAGGAACCCCUUCCUCUUCUUCCAUCAUCCAACGAGAAGACCGAUCUAUUCAGGGGAGGGGAGAUUGAGCUUUGCAUCGCAGGUGUUCGUCGUGGGCCACGACUGGGGGGCCUUCGUGGCGUGGUAUCUCUGCCUGUUCAGGCCCGACAGGGUGAAGGCGCUGGUGAACAUCAGCGUCGCCUUCUCGCCGCGCAACCCCAAGGCAAAGCCGAUCGAGACCCUCCGCUCAAUCUACGGAGAGGACUACUACAUGGCCAGGUUUCAGGUUUGCGAGCUCACCCUUCCCACUCUUUGUCUUCCCCAUCCGUAUAACGGACUCAUAACCCAUGGUCUUGCGUGAUUAUUCGAGGGGAACCGGUAAGCCUGAUGAGGAUAUCAACAGAUCUGAUGGGUUUUCUCGGAACAUAUAGUGAACUCCCGGCCGCCGUGUGCGCAGGUAGAUCCCCGAAUUUCUUCUCCGCACCUCAUUUUAGUAAGUUUUCAGGAACCCGGGGAAGCAGAGAAGUUGUUUGCGAAAUUCGGGGCGGAAUUUGUGCUCAGGAAGUUCUUCUCGUAUCGAACACCUGGUCCGAUCCUCCUGACGGAGGAGUUCUUGGGCUCACCCGGCGACCAAGUUCCUCUGCCUUCUUGGCUGUCGGAGGAGGAGAUUCGCUAUUUCGCGGACAAAUUCGAGAAGACGGGGUUCACCGGGGGAAUCAAUUACUACCGAUCCCAAGACAGGUGACUUGGCUAAAUCAACCGCUGUUUUAGAGUCAGCGGCGUGGUCAUCUCCAUUAUCGCUCUCCAAGCUUUCGAAUUUCUCUGCAAAUUGGUACUGGGCAGGAACUGGGAGUUGCUGGCGCCGUGGACGGGAGCGCAGGUCAAGGUGCCCACCAAGUUCAUCAUCGGCGACCUUGAC